rnacentral:rRNA from 1 species
AGCGAACGCUGGCGGCAGGCCUAACACAUGCAAGUCGAACGGAUCCUUCGGGAUUAGUGGCGGACGGGUGAGUAACACGUGGGAACGUGCCCUUUGGUUCGGAACAACUCAGGGAAACUUGAGCUAAUACCGGAUGUGCCCUUUGGGGGAAAGAUUUAUCGCCAUUGGAGCGGCCCGCGUCUGAUUAGCUAGUUGGUGAGGUAAAGGCUCACCAAGGCGACGAACAGUAGCUGGGCUGAGAGGAUGAUCAGCCACAUUGGGACUGAGACACGGCCCAAACUCCUACGGGAGGCAGCAGUGGGGAAUCUUGCGCAAUGGGCGAAAGCCUGACGCAGCCAUGCCGCGUGAAUGAUGAAGGUCUUAGGAUUGUAAAAUUCUUUCACCGGGGACGAUAAUGACGGUACCCGGAGAAGAAGCCCCGGCUAACUUCGUGCCAGCCGCCGCCGUAA